rnacentral:rRNA from 1 species
UACGGAGGGGGCUAGCGUUGUUCGGAAUUACUGGGCGUAAAGCGCGCGUAGGCGGACCUGCAAGUCGGGGGUGAAAGCCCGAGGCUCAACCUCGGAACUGCCUUCGAUACUGCGGGUCUCGAGUCCGGGAGAGGUGAGUGGAAUUCCUAGUGUAGAGGUGAAAUUCGUAGAUAUUAGGAAGAACACCAGUGGCGAAGGCGGCUCAGCUGGCCCGGUACUGACGCGUGAGGCGACGAAAGCGUGGGGAGCAAACAGG